UUGUUUUUGAUUGGUAUAUCAAAAGGUCUGAUUCAGAAUUGUGUUUCACAUACAUUUUGGUUUGGGAGUUUGUUUGGUUGGGCCAUCGACGGACGCUCUCCAGGGGGGGGAGGGUGAACUCCUUUACCCCCGGCGGCAGGCGUUGUGGUCGCGAGACCACGCAGCGAACCGGUCCGCCGAAGCAACACGUACAGGUUUAUUAGACACGGGGUUGGGAGGUCGGGCCCCGUGGGAGGGACCCUAACUCGGUAAUGAUCCUUCCGCAGGUUCACCUACGGAAA
rnacentral:misc_RNA from 1 species